GACAGAAGCUGACAGUAAUGCCGUUUUGAAAUCCAUGAAAUAUUGUACGAUCUCUAAGAUACUAAUUAUUGCCGGAACAUUAAGUGAGGGAUCAAGGCAGGUGUGAAAAGACAAUCUAUGUAUCUGUGUGUUUGUGGGAUCUCUUAAGGACGAUUACUGUAGCGUUAUGUAAUGGAUCGAUGCAGGAAAGGGGAGGCGAUCUGGGUAUCUGUUUAUCCUGAUAACUAAGCGUUUGUGUGUUCGUAUGUCCAUACUGUAUGAGUGCACCUGUGUAACCUUUGUUUCUGCGCACGUUCACUUCAUACAGAGGAGUUCGUCCACCCAUGUAGCGGUACGCCCCGGUGUGCACCGGCAACACGGCGCCUCCGUAGCGCCAGGCAGCGGUCCUGCACACGCCAGUCCGCCUCCUCCUACCCCUCCGGGUACUGUCGCCGGCCUCCCCCAGACAGAUAAUCGACUCUCUUGGCAGGCACACGGCGCGGUGCGAGUGUGACUCCGAGUGGCAUGCGCGGGGUGCACGUGCUUGGCCCACGUGAGGCCGGGACGGGUGUGACUGGUCAGUGAGCGACAGGUGAGGCCAUGGCGAGGGCGUCGAGGCCACCUGUGCGUCCCAACCUGAGGGGCGGCCUCCGCCUCCUCAUCCUCCUCUCGCUCCUCUUGGAUGUUAUGGUUCCUCCAGGUGAGGCGGCGGCGGUGCUGGUGCUCGGGGCGAGGCGAUGUUAUGAAAAGUUUUGUCGGAGGUCUAUCUUGCCAGAGGAAGCGGACCCGGCUAACAUCAACUCAGCGGGCGUGUGUAUGUUGGUGAAGCCUGAGGCGAAACAAAGGGACAAAUGGGGAGAUUAUGUCCAUCUUCUGGGGCUUCAAAUCUCUAACGUGACUGUCUUUGCAGGCAUAGUUCAAAGUCCGAUACGCAUCACAGAACAUCGGGUCCUUGAAGUGGAGUUCCCGUGCAGUGUGAGGCUGUCCAGGUACCCUUUCGGCAGGUAUUUGUGUAACUUCACCGUUCUUCAAACAAAAUGGAACAGUAAGUGGAAGCUCGCAUAUACCGAAAACGGAGAUUACCGGGAUGUUAAGUACCAAAAGGACAUGAACCUUCUUGAUUUCCGCCGAGAGAAGGUAACAGCAGAGGUGCAUUCUUCUAGUUCCAUGUUAACCUUAAGCCUUCACCUGGCGAAGCAAUCUGAUUACCACAUCACCAAGAGCUUCUUACCAAGCUCCCUCAUGUUUCUGAUCUGUUACUUGUCUCUUUUCUUCCCUUCCGCGUGUUUCAACGAAAGGGUAAUGGUUUUCCUGACCCCCCUCCUUGUUCUCGUUACCCCCUUCUCUUCUGCGACGAACACCUACGUUAGAACACCGUACUACAAGUUAAUUGACGUGCAUGUGGUAUGUCGCGUUGAUCGUCCUCUGCUUUGUCGUUGUGGUUGCCAAUGCGUUCAUCGAUAGUCUGAGGGUUUCGAAGAUGAAAUCACAAACUGACCUGAUGAAACAGGCGUCGGCGUCGAAAAGGUGCAAUACUUCCUGCCAGGUGUUGCUCGCCAUCUAUUUUGUGGCCCUGAUCGUGAUGCUUGUCUUGUAAGCGAACAUCCUGUAGGCGCCUACAGGAUGUCUUUGCUGAACAAGACAAACGCCACGAUCAGAGCCACAAAACAGAUGGCGAGGAACACCUGGCAGGAAGUAUUACACCUUUCGACGCCAACACUUUUUUCAUUAGGUCGGUCUGUGAUUUCACCUUCGAAACCCUCGGACUAUUGAUGGGCGCAUUGGCAACCACAACGACAAAGCAAAGAUUUGUCUUGUUCGGCAAAGACAUCCUGUAUAGGCGCCUGCAGGAUGUCCGCUGAACAAGACAAACAUCACGAUCAGGGCCACAAAACAGAUGUGUGUGUGUGUGUGUGCGCGUAUUUGCGUGCGUAUUUCGCGAUCGCCAGCCAAUACCCAUCCCGACUGAGGCCGGGGCUCAUAAGUGACGGAUCUCUGCGUCCGGCUGAAACCUCACACCCACACACACCGGGGAGGCGGGACACGACCUCGACUGACACCCGGUACAUAUUCACUGCUGGGGGGACAGGGGUCACUGAUUAAAGGGGACUGCCCAUUCUUCUCCACUCCCCACGGGAAUCGAACCCGGGACCUCAUGGUUGUGGCACGAGCGCGCUAACCACUGCACUUUGUCUUCUAUCUGUCUGUGUUUUUUUUUUUAAUACUAACGCCACCAAAACAUCCUCACUGUUAGCAUUAAGACCACCAAAACAUCCUCACUGUUAGCAUUAAGACCACCAAAACAUCCACACUGUUAGCAUUAAGACCACCAAAACAUCCUCACUGUUAGCAUUAAGACCACCAAAACAUCCACACUGUUAGCAUUAAGACCACCAAAACAUCCUCACUGUUAGCAUUAAGACCACCAAAACAUCCUCACUGUUAGGAGCUUAAUACUAACGCCAGAAUGAACACAGGGGAACCACAACACCUGUAACAUUUUAGUCAGAUAAGAAGACGAAAGAAGAGUCUGCCGUCCAUUAUUACCUGCCUGAAAAUAGCAAGCAGGUGAAGGUUUUCCGCGAUAUCUAAUGCCUCACCUUCCUCGUCCGUCUGUUUACAAGUAUGAAAAUUACUACUUAAGAUCAUUAUAAUUAGGAUGUAACUGUUUAUCUUACUUCCUCUCCUCCUGUUGGCUCUACUAACUUGGUGGUGUAAUUUUAUCUGCAAAUAAAGGCUUAGAUGUG